rnacentral:rRNA from 1 species
UACGUAGGGUGCAAGCGUUAUCCGGAAUUAUUGGGCGUAAAGAGCUCGUAGGCGGUUUGUCGCGUCUGCUGUGAAAACUGGAGGCUCAACCUCCAGCCUGCAGUGGGUACGGGCAGACUGGAGUACUGCAGGGGAGACUGGAAUUCCUGGUGUAGCGGUGGAAUGCGCAGAUAUCAGGAGGAACACCGGUGGCGAAGGCGCUGCUCUGGGCCGAAACUGACGCUGAGGAGCGAAAGCGUGGGUAGCAAACAGG